AGUGAACGCUGGCGGUAGGCCUAACACAUGCGAGUCGAACGGCAGCACAGUAAGAGCUUGCUCUUACGGGUGGCGAGUGGCGGACGGGUGAGGAAUACAUCGGAAUCUACUUUUUCGUGGGGGAUAACGUAGGGAAACUUACGCUAAUACCGCAUACGACCUACGGGUGAAAGCAGGGGAUCUUCGGACCUUGCGCGAUUGAAUGAGCCGAUGUCGGAUUAGCUAGUUGGCGGGGUAAAGGCCCACCAAGGCGACGAUCCGUAGCUGGUCUGAGAGGAUGAUCAGCCACACUGGAACUGAGACACGGUCCAGACUCCUACGGGAGGCAGCAGUGGGGAAUAUUGGACAAUGGGCGCAAGCCUGAUCCAGCCAUACCGCGUGGGUGAAGAAGGCCUUCAGGUUGUAAAGCCCUUUUGUUGGGAAAGAAAAGCAGCAGGUUAAUACCCCGCUGUUCUGACGGUACCCAAAGAAUAAGCACCGGCUAACUUCGUG
rnacentral:rRNA from 1 species